CCCGCGAUUUUCCAGAAACAUAACUAGUCAAGGCAUUUGUAUUGCAUCUGUUCCUUUGAUUAAAUCCUCUCAUCUUGUUAUUACUGUUGUUGAAUUUGAGUUCUUGUAGAUUGCUUUAGUUAGCUUCAUCCUAACUCUUACAUCAAUAGUCUACUUGAUAAUUUAGUCCAAUGACAGAGAACUCCAAUGGGGUAGUUAUUCUUAUCACUUUAUUGAAUAUCUUGCUUUACAAGCUCCAGAAACUCCAAGAAGCUAAGCAAAAAACCCACUUACCCCUGUCUGUUCGACAGAUAUGUCGGCGUUUUUCGAUUGGUGAUAUGAAAUCAGCAACAAACAACUUCAAGGAAGAAUUGGUAAUCGGAAAAGGUGGGUUUGGAAUUGUUUAUAAAGGUAUCAUUGACUUUAAAGACAAGAUUGUUGCUAUCAAGCGGUCAAAAUCUAUGUCCCAGCAAGGAAGCAAGGAGUUUCUUACAGAGAUUGAGAUGCUCUCUCAGUUUCAACACAGCCAUUUAGUCUCUCUCGUUGGUUAUUGUGAUGACGGGGAAGAGAUGAUCCUAGUUUAUGAUUAUCUGCCUUCUGGAAGUCUAUCUGACCAUCUGUAUAAAAGGGUCAGAAAUGGUGAUCAUUCAUUGCCUUCUUUGACAUGGGUGCAGCGCCUCAAGAUUUGCAUCGGGGCUGCACAUGGACUGAACUACCUUCACACGGGUACGAGCACUAAGACCAGAGUCAUACACAGAGAUGUCAAGACUUCAAACAUUCUGUUGGAUGAGAAUUUGGCAGCUAAAAUUUCAGACUUUGGAUUGUCCAAAACAGGUCCUGCAAAUCAAACAUGUACAUAUGUGAGCACGCGGGUCAAAGGGACACACGGUUAUCUAGAUCCUUACUAUGUGGCAACUCGUAGACUAACUAGGAAAUCUGAUGUCUAUGCAUUUGGUGUGGUGUUAUUUGAGGUGUUGUGUGGAAGACCAGCUGUGGAUGCAAGUCUUGAUGAAGAGCAGAUUAGCUUAGCUGGAUGGGCACAGCAAUGCUUCAAAGAGGGACUCUUGGACCAGAUAACAGAUUCCUGCAUCAAGGAGAGCAUAUCAUCUGAUUCCUUAAAAGCUUAUGUUGAUGUUGCUAUCAAGUGUUUAAAUAAUCAACCCAAGCUCCGUCCUACUAUGGCUGAGGUUGUAGUCAGUCUUGAGUCUGCAUUGGUAUUGCAAGAAAAGAGCACACAUUAUUCUUUGGUUGAGAUAAUGCCUGAUGAUUCUACCCAAGAAGAUGCAGAUUCUUCUAUACUUAAAUUGAAAAGCACUAUGCCCAACCGUGGACAUGAAUAUACAGGAAAAAGAAUUGUGAAUGCUUCUAAUAGCUCGCAUCACAAUAAGUAAUCUUCUGCUAGGUUGACAUUCACCAGAAGGUUCAGUGCUCUACUUUCAGUUACAAGUCGGGUGUUCUCAGUUAAUAAAGAUGCAAAGAAAUUCAAAUACAGUAAUGGUCUGCUGUCAGUUAAUAGUAACAAAUCACAGAAUCCAUCAAUGCCACUAAAACCUUGGAGACAGGAAGAAGUUCUGCAGUCAUCAAAUUUAAAGAGGUUCG